CCUUAAAUUGAACCACUUAGAUUUCCAUCCAGGGAAGGGGGGCCUAGUUUACUAGGUUUUAAUUAUAUUUUGCACGAAAUACCCCUCCCCACGCACACAUACCUGAACACUUGAAAAGCAGUUGAAACAGAACAGAGAUAGGUGGUAGCAUUUUUCUACUAUGGUUAUACUCAUCACACGUUGACUUGCACCCAGACAAUGAGACAGGUUGGCACAACACCACCGGUGUAAUGUACCGUAUCAAAUUACAGACCAUGACAAAAGGUCCAGGAACUCCACAAUACUUCUGAGCUAAUAUUCUGCGGUGCAUCCCAACAAGUAGAUCAUUUGAUGUGUCAAUACUCAGUUCCGAUCAGGCAGAUCUUCAAGCAGUGUGCCCCAGCAGACGUCACAGUUGUGCCCUGGUUAACACCCCCUCACUGUGUGCCAACAAAGCUGUUUGCCAUAUUCAGGAGCUGAAGAGGCAACUGGAGAACUGGUGUCAACAGUCAGGAAAUGUUCAGCAUCAGAUGUCUCAUGAAAAACAGCAAAAUAGCAAAACUUUUAG